CUGUGAUCUUGGCACUCCAAGAUCAAGGAGGAACUCAACUACUGGUUUGAUUUUUCCCUCAAGACUAUAGUAAGCAAAAGCAGGAAACUUUCGUGUGAUUACUCUAAUCCUUUCAAUGUCCAUGCCCAGUUCAACAAGGUAUAAAAUAUGUGGGGGAAGCUUUCCAGUGGGUCCAAUAUCAGUCACUCGUGCCAGAGCCUUCAGUUUCUUGGAGUCGAGAACAGCACUAGGAGGUGAAGCUGGUGUGACAGGAAUAGGUACUUUUUCAACAGUUUCUUCUAUUUUCUCCACAACUGGUGGGUUUGGAAAGCUCUCCACAACGUCCACCAAAAUGCUUCCAUAUUCCUCGUGGAGGGCCUCAAG
rnacentral:misc_RNA from 1 species